rnacentral:lncRNA from 1 species
GUUUUUUUUUUUUUUUUUUUUUUUGCACAUUUUAUCUCUUUCAAAUAUGUUCCAUCCACUUUACUGGGUCCAGCUAAACAAUUCAUAUCAACUAAAUCUAUGCCAAGCAGCACAUAGUAACUCUGACUACAAGUUUUAUUUACUUUUUCCUCAAGGAGACUUAGUUCCAAGAUAAAAAAAUUCCUCCAAUCCAUCGUUGUAGCUAAAAAGUUCUGUUACUAGACAUGUGGUUUCUGAAACAUCGUGACUGCCCCCAUCAACAGAAUCCGAUCGAUCAACAGCUCUUGCAGCCUGCUGAAAUAGAUGAUGGUGCAGAAUAUUGCAUAAUUAAGGAACUUAGAUGAUAAAUAAGUGCUUCAAACACACAAUUACGUAUCUCAAAGUUUGACAAUGAAGCGCAACUUUGGUGGUAAUUGGUAAGACAUUUCAAUUGUAACCUAAUAAAAUACCCAUGGUUAGAAACUUAGGUUGAGACCAAUUUUGGCCCACUUGAUUUUGUAAGGGAAAUAAAAUUAGUUUCGCUAGAAAUGAGAGACGGAAAAAUUCAUUAAGUGAAACGUGAAAGACAUUUUGAACGAUUUUUCCUUUUUUCAUUGACAAAUUAUGGACCCUGUAAAUUCGACAGAAUAUGUAAACUUUAGGUCUUCCUCAACAUGAUUUUCGUACAUGAAACGGUUAAUCUUUGGGUAAAAGAGAGAGUUUGUUCAAUGGCAAAGGAGGAAUACGAAUUAUUUGCAGUCUGAACUUAUUACAUCUGGAACUCUUGGAAAGCCAAACUGUUUGAUUGUAAGGAUAAUGAUCCCAUGUCCUUGGUUAGUUUUGCUUCUGGAAUGUUAUCUUCUUUCAAGGAGGCCAAUUCCCAAUCACACACACAUACAUAUACAAUCUUGAAAAUUAUAUUGAGUAAAACUAAGAAUGCAGACCUUGAAAACUAUAUCGAGUAAAAAAAAAUGCAGACUUCAUCAUUAGGCAAAGAACGUGACCAAAAAAACAGAAAUUUCAGCAUAUUCCUGCAAGAAAACCAAUGCACACAAGCAACUGUAACAUAUCUUUAGUUGAGAAAAGUUACUAGUUGCAAUUUGAAUUGCAUACCAAACAAUGACAGAAAUAAGUAUCUUAUUCCCUAAAAAUUACUUCUAUCACCAGCCAAAAUGGUUCCCGAUUUUCUAUACUCCUCCUUCAAGCUAAAUAACCAGUCCACCUAAAAUCAUUAGAGACAGAGCCAAGCCCCAGUAGUUUGGCCAAGCCCAAGGGUGAAGGCAGAGGAGAGGAAAGAAUAGAUUCAAUAUACUGAUUAGGAAUUAAUAAUAUUUAUAAAUUACAAGAUGGUCCCUUUUUUAAAAUAUUUAUAUAAUAUACCCUACGGAUCCAAUACUCGCAGGUUUUUGUUUCCUGAUUCAUAUCUAUAUCUGAAUUUUGCAGAUACUCGACUCUCAUCUGCUCCGCUAAGAAAAUCGGAUCGGAUAUCCUAUUUUCCAUAGUAAGAUGGAUCGUAUCAGUCAGUUUUUCGGAUCGGAAAUUUUUUUUUCCCUCCCACCCCCAGGUAUAGGUAUGAGUAUUGAAACGUUGGAAUAAAUUCUCAAAAUUUGGUGAUUCUCAAUUCCCAAUCAAUUUGGGGGGUUUUGGUUGAUUACCAAAUUUGAUUCCUAAAUGGAAAAUGAAAAUUCAAAAAAAAAAGCAAUUUCCAUCUUUUCCAAAUCUCUUCCCUCUCGUACAUCUCUCUCCCCUUCCCAAGCAUCUCCACCACCAUGCCUCCCUAACAACCAAACCUUCUUUCUCUACUUUCUUGCUUGCCAUCGGCCUCCGCUCUCCUUCCUCGCUCAUCUCUCUCAUCCUGAAAAAUUUUCCUAUGGUUAAAUCUCUCUAACAGCAAAUUAUUUUAAAAAACUUGGCAAAGUUUUCCAUCUAAACACAACAGCUUACAAGCCUUGCGUGAUGAUGAAGUUGAGGGGUGAUUUCUACAGCAAAAGAGCAUGAACUUUACCUGUACUUGAAUUACAUAGGAAGAUGGCCAUUCUGCAUCUUGGAAGCAUAGAAAGAUGACCAUUCCGCAUCUUGGAUUUCCAUUUUUAGUUUAGAUCUUUGAUUCGAAAAUCUUGGAAAUCCUAAACUCAACAAAGCUUAGCAGCUUCAAAUUAGUAGAACUAGCUGUGAAUUUUCUUCAUUUUGAAGUUGAUUGGUGGUGGCUACCCUGAGAUGUAUGGAAGGUAAGAAAUGAAAAGCUCCUCAAAAACAAAUACAAAAUUUCAUUUUGAUACCCAAACUAAGAAGUUUUUACCAAGCAAUAGAUAUUGUAAUGAUGCCAUAGGCUUAUACCCACACUAAAAUUUUGUAAAUGAUACCAUUUACAAUUCCAAUUCCAGAACCUAACCAAGCGAAUUUAUGAAAAUUUCAUGCUCGACUCCAAAAGCAUAAGUUUGAAAUUUUGCACGUAAAAUCAAUUUACUUGACUUUAAUUCAACUUUAGCUCAAUAAUAAUAAAGGCUCAUGUGAAUUCAAAUUUGAAAAGUAGAUUAGCCAGAUUUGAGCACAAUUUACCCAAUAUGAAAUAUUGUUACAUCUUCACUUCAUGAUGGUUCACUCACUAAUGGAAUUCUAUAACAAUACACACUUUUAAAGAAAACAAUUAUCAUGUUUAAAUUGUAUUUUAAGUUUUGAAAUUUUGUGGUUGACAGCUUUAGCUACCUGAAAUAUAUGGCGCAGAACAUUGCAUGAUUAGCUUGAAGAACUUGGAUGAUUAAGUACUUUAAACAAACAUUUACAUCCCUCAGAGACCCAGUUUGUUCUUGCAGCAAGGAUAAACAGUGUGAGUGAUUGCAGAAAAACUCGGACAAUCAUUCCCCACCAAAUUCCCUGAAUGAAUUGGGUAAAGAGGACAUACUGUUUUUCAGGACAUUCAUCUGAUAAACAAAUGCUGAUUGUUAAACAGGAGAAAUAGAUAACUUACUACAACUCCUGAGCUGGUCUUGAAGCAUAGAACACAUCCAAUUGGAAGACCAAUGAUAUAUAGUAGGUAACCAAGUUAAGAUAGCCAUCAACAGUUUGCCAUCCACUCCCAAUGGCCACCCCUGAAAUUUAUACAAUAUGUUACUGAGUAUGCAUUUGAUGUCUCAACUUGAACAAGCACUAAGCUGCUCAAGGAACCUCACCAGACAGUAUGGGUUGAAUGCCAUUUGAGAAGACAGAGAUGGCAAGCAAUGGUUUCAACUCUGGCACAGCCUUAAUGAGAUGAGCGUCGCCGGUGAAAAGUUUCACUCAGUCCAACCCUAAAUAUCAGCAUUAUUGCUGCCAAAAUUAUAUUUAUUAAAGUGCUGGUUGUGGUUACAACAAUGACUGAGAACUUUGCAACCAUUGGAUGGCCUGAUCCAGGUUCGUUACUGACUCGAACGCUGCAUUAGUGUACCAAAAUUAAUCAAUUUAUUGUCCAUAUGAACAUUUGCUCUUUAAUCCUGAAAAUGUAAAGCAUCCAGCAGAAUGUAAGAAGGUAGUUAUUCAGUGAAUCUCAUACCUUGCUGCAGCUGAUAUCCCAAGCAUAAACAUCAUAUCCCAGUUCCGGUAACUCAUGCUGUCGUUUCACUUAAAAUGUGAGCAUUACAAAACCUGAAGAAGAAAGUAGAGAGUUGUAGUCAAAUUUACCAUAUAGAAAUGGAGUCUAGUGCAAUUGUAGGAUUGGAAUUUGGAAAGGAGACCUCAUGUGGGAACAAGACCUUGGAAGUACCAUAUAUCCAAAGCUGCACCAUCAGCAGAGCCUCGCAAAUCAAUUUUGCUAGGAGUUUUAAAACUCAUUUAUGCAUGUGAAAAAGAAAGAAUGCAAUGAACAUACAUAACAUAACAUCAGAAGCAAUGGUUAACUUGAAGUAAGGCAAAUGCCUUCGAAAGCCACGAGGAACACACCCAACUGCAAUAUAAGCUACCUGGAGAAAUCUUUGCAUCAGGGAAUUUAUGGCAAAUGCAUGAAGUUGGAGAAUCAGCCCUCAAACAAAAAUUUGGCCUUGUUCUGCUAUAUCAUUUGAUUGCCCCUAUUGCUCUGAGGAAUGCACCAGAGUACCAGUGUAGGAAUGUCAGGACAAAAGCUGCAGCUAUGUACAAGACAAUUGCCCUCUGGCGAAUCAUCCCCAAGGCUGAAUAGCGUUUUGCCCCAUAAGCUUGGCCACAAACCAUAUUGUUAAUUCAUAUUGUUAAUUCUGAGCUGUAUUAUCAAUUGUUUUUUCACUUUUUAAGUUUUUUUCCUAUGCUACACAAAUUCAUAUAGAAGUGUGGACAUUAAUCAGCAAGAUUAUUAAUAGCAUAAAACCAAAAAAUGUUGAUGAAGCAUACAUAUACUCAUCUCACAGGUAUAAUCGGAGGUUUCCUACAGCCAGUCCUUUAUAUGAGUAUUAAUAAUCAGAGGAUUGACUGGUUGGUACACGAGUUUAUCUGCAACUAAUUAAGUUUACAUUGUUAGAGAAUGUUAAGGUGGAUACUUGAUCCUAUUCCAAGAGUCGUAGGUAGUUGAGUGUACAAAAAUCAUUCCUGGAUGAAUAGGAGGUCAUUGUCGCCAAGGUACCUUCCAGAUGUAAAAGGAAGAUGUCUCAGGUCUCAAGUCUCAACUACCAGUCGAAGGCUUCAAGCUUCAAAAACUUCAAACACCCAUUCUUAUGGCACUAAAAUUUGACUGCAAACGAAGUGAAAGGCAGGCAAAGGACAGAAGACAGUUGUACGGUCAACACUAAUGAUAGCACUAUCCAUUAAUACCAAAAGCAAUGGCGAAAAUUGCUGUGUACCAGAAAUCAAAUCUACCUUUCCAAGUUUCAACCACAAAUGUUGCCCACGCAAGUUUUAUUCCUUUCUCUUUGCCCUUUAUCUUCUAUUCUUCAAUAUGUAGAAGCAGAAAGAACAUGUACACAUUUCACUACCUUAUGAAGCAAAUCAUCAGAACUCCCAACUUUAUUCGGCUUCAAGGAAUUAGCCUCAUUCAUAUGAACUUGGGUAUUUGACUUGUUAGCAAUAAAUCCAGGAGAAAUAACUAGUGCAUCACUGAAAAAGUUGUCCAACUCCAACAUCCUGGGAACGAGUUCAAAGCAGCAACUAGCGUUUUCAGUGGCAAUUUAUUUUCCUAGUUAACAUUUCAGCACGGAUAAUCACCAUGUUAUUAUGGAAAUCACCAUAAACCAGUAUUCAAGAAGCCUGUUAAUCAUCAACGUUCAAUUGCAAAGGUCAACCGUAAAUUGGAAAAGAUUAAAAGAAAAAAAAAGACUUCAGAAUAAGAACAAUGAAAACUACACGUACAAGAAACUCAAGGUUCUGAAGAAAGCUAAUAAACGUAAGCGGAUGAAAGCCUUCAAUUUUCACCCACGCUUUUCCAGAAAUACUUCAGCUUAAAGUGCUCAAGAGAUACUUGGAAGUGUGCUCUGCUCAAGCCUUUUGGCUUCCACACAUUUUCUACACUCUCAGUCCAUGCUUAAUGAGCUAAAACGACAUCAUUCAUGCUUUGCGAUCCUAGAGAAGUUCGCUAAUUUCGUUCUGGAAACUGACCAUGUUGGCAUCAUCACGCGGUUUGAUCGCCCUAUAUAAUCGAAGGCAAAUACAAAUGGAGUAUCAGAUUAUCAUUUACACGGUCAUUCUCUAAGAAUACAAGCUUCCGAUGCACUUCGACUAAUUGGAUGGUCAAGUUACAUUACAUCCCCACUGACCUAAGGAGUACAAAAGAAAUAUACUGAUGCAAAGCGAGGUCAAUGGUACAACUGAUAUUGUACAAAUAACCUGUAGAAAAUUACUGACCCACUAGGAAUUGCAAGUCAUCAGUAGUG